GGGGGAUAUUGCACAAUGGGGGAAACCCUGAUGCAGCGACGCCGCGUGGAGGAAGAAGGUUUUCGGAUUGUAAACUCCUGUCGUUAGGGACGAUAAUGACGGUACCUAACAAGAAAGCACCGGCUAACUACGUGCCAGCAGCCGCGGUAAAACGUAGGGUGCAAGCGUUGUCCGGAAUUACUGGGUGUAAAGAGAGCGCAGGCGGGAAGACAAGUUGGAAGUGAAAACCAUGGGCUCAACCCAUGAACUGCUUUCAAAACUGUUUUUCUUGAGUAGUGCAGAGGUAGAUGGAAUUCCCGGUGUAGCGGUGGAAUGCGUAGAUAUCGGGAGGAACACCAGUGGCGAAGGCGGUCUACUGGGCACCAACUGACGCUGAGGCUCGAAAGCAUGGGUAGCAAACAGGAUUAGAUACCCUGGUAGUCCAUGCCGUAAACGAUGAUUACUAGGUGUUGGGGGAUUGACCCCCUCAGUGCCGCAGUUAACACAAUAAGUAAUCCACCUGGGGAGUACGACCGCAAGGUUGAAACUCAAAGGAAUUGACGGGGGCCCGCACAAGCAGUGGAGUAUGUGGUUUAAUUCGAAGCAACGCGAAGAACCUUACCAGGUCUUGACAUCCGAUGCAUAGCACAGAGAUGUGUGAAAUCCUUCGGGACAUCGAGACAGGUGGUGCAUGGUUGUCGUCAGCUCGUGUCGUGAGAUGUUGGGUUAAGUCCCGCAACGAGCGCAACCCUUAUUGCCAGUUACUACGUUAAGAGGACUCUGGCGAGACUGCCGUUGACAAAACGGAGGAAGGUGGGGAUGACGUCAAAUCAUCAUGCCCUUUAUGACCUGGGCUACACACGUACUACAAUGGCGUUAAACAAAGAGAAGCAAGACCGCGAGGUGGAGCAAAACUCAAAAACAACGUCUCAGUUCAGAUUGCAGGCUGCAACUCGCCUGCAUGAAGUCGGAAUUGCUAGUAAUCGCGGAUCAGCAUGCCGCGGUGAAUACGUUCCCG
rnacentral:rRNA from 1 species